rnacentral:piRNA from 1 species
UUUUCGGUUUUUUCGGUUUUU